rnacentral:rRNA from 1 species
AUUGAACGCUGGCGGCAUGCCUUACACAUGCAAGUCGAACGGCAGCACGGGGCAACCUGGUGGCGAGUGGCGAACGGGUGAGUAAUGCAUCGGAACGUACCUUUCAGUGGGGGAUAACGUAGCGAAAGUUACGCUAAUACCGCAUAUUCUGUGAGCAGGAAAGCAGGGGAUCGCAAGACCUUGCGCUGAUUGAGCGGCCGAUGUCAGAUUAGCUAGUUGGUGAGGUAAAGGCUCACCAAGGCGACGAUCUGUAGCGGGUCUGAGAGGAUGAUCCGGAACACUGGAACUGAGACACGGUCCAGACUCCUACGGGAGGCAGCAGUGGGGAAUUUUGGACAAUGGGGGCAACCCUGAUCCAGCCAUGGCGCGUGAGUGAAGAAGGCCUUCGGGUUGUAAAGCUCUUUCGGCCGGGAAGAAAUCGCACGGGCUAAUACCCUGUGUGGAUGACGGUACCGGAAUAAGAAGCACCGGCUAACUACGUGCCAGCCGCCGCAGUAAGAC